GGAGAUUGAGGCUAAAAAACCAGCUGCUCCGAGGAAGAGAAAUCCUCCUACUCAUCCUUCGUACUUUGAGGUAUAAUUCGUUAACUAAAUUGUUCAAUUUGUUAAGGAAAUGUUGAAUUUUGGAAAUUAGGACUGUAUCCGUGCAAAUGAAGCGCAAUGAAAAUUGAGGAUUCGUAUCGAUUGAGCUGCAGUAGUUGUUAUGUAGAUGAUUAGUGAAAAUUGAGGAUCUGUAUGGAUUGAUCAAGCUAUAGUUGUUAUAGUUGAAUUAAUUUGUUAAUUUGCCUAAUUUUGCAGAUGAUUAAGGAUGCGAUUGUAACACUGAAGGAUAAAACUGGAUCGAGCCAGCACGCGAUCACAAAGUUCAUCGAAGAUAAGCAGAAGAAUCUUCCAUCAAAUUUCAGGAAACUGUUGCUUGUUCAAUUGAAGAAGCUUGUGGCUUCUGGUAAACUCGUCAAGGUUAAGAGUUCGUACAAACUUCCAGCUGCACGAUCUGCAGCUCCAAAGGCUGCUGCUACUGCGCCGGCGAAGAAGAAGCCGGCAGCUAAGCCGAAAGCAACAAAGGCAAAACCGAAGCCAAAACCUAAGACUGUUGCUCCAAAGGCAAAAAC
rnacentral:lncRNA from 1 species